GACGAACGCUGGCGGCGUGCUUAACACAUGCAAGUCGAACGGAAAGGCCCUGCUUUUGUGGGGUGCUCGAGUGGCGAACGGGUGAGUAACACGUGAGUAACCUGCCCUUGACUUUGGGAUAACUUCAGGAAACUGGGGCUAAUACCGGAUAGGAGCUCCUGCUGCAUGGUGGGGGUUGGAAAGUUUCGGCGGUUGGGGAUGGACUCGCGGCUUAUCGGCUUGUUGGUGGGGUAGUGGCUUACCAAGGCUUUGACGGGUAGCCAGCCUGAGAGGGUGACCGGCCACAUUGGGACUGAGAUACGGCCCAGACUCCUACGGGAGGCAGCAGUGGGGAAUAUUGCACAAUGGGCGGAAGCCUGAUGCAGCAACGCCGCGUGCGGGAUGACGGCCUUCGGGUUGUAAACCGCUUUCGCCUGUGACGAAGCGUGAGUGACGGUAAUGGGUAAAGAAGCACCGGCUAACUACGUG
rnacentral:rRNA from 1 species